rnacentral:misc_RNA from 1 species
UUUCCGUAGGUGAACCUGCGGAAGGAUCAUUAAAAGAUUUAGCAUAUUCUUCUGAAUAUACCUCAUUAACCCAUUCCGAGUACCUUACCCGUUGCUUCCGCGAGGCUGUCCUCACGGCCCUUUGAAGAUUUAUCUUUGGAGAGUCCUUGCGGGAGGUAUACAAUAAACUCUUGCAUUACCAUGUCAUCUGUCUGAAUCUGUUUAAAACAAAUAUUAAAACUUUCAACAACGGAUCUCUUGGUUCUC